rnacentral:rRNA from 1 species
GUUUGAUCCUGGCUCAGGAUGAACGCUGGCGGCGUGCUUAACACAUGCAAGUCGAACGAACCUUCGGGUUAGUGGCGGACGGGUGAGUAACGCGUGAGAAUCUGCCCUCAGGAGGGGGAUAACGGCUGGAAACGACCGCUAAUACCCCAUAUGCCGAGAGGUGAAAUGAAUUUCGCCUGAGGAUGAGCUCGCGUCUGAUUAGCUAGUUGGUGGGGUAAGGGCCCACCAAGGCUUCGAUCAGUAGCUGGUCUGAGAGGAUGAUCAGCCACACUGGGACUGAGACACGGCCCAGACUCCUACGGGAGGCAGCAGUGGGGAAUUUUCCGCAAUGGGCGCAAGCCUGACGGAGCAACGCCGCGUGAGGGAUGAAGGCCUCUGGGCUGUAAACCUCUUUUAUCAAGGAAGAAGAUCUGACGGUACUUGAUGAAUAAGCCACGGCUAAUUCCGUGCCAGCAGCCGCGGUAAUACGGGAGUGGCAAGCGUUAUCCGGAAUUAUUGGGCGUAAAGCGUCCGCAGGCGGUCUUGUAAGUCUGUCGUUAAAGCGUGGAGCUUAACUCCAUUUCGGCGAUGGAAACUACAAGACUAGAGUGUGGUAGGGGCAGAGGGAAUUCCCGGUGUAGCGGUGAAAUGCGUAGAUAUCGGGAAGAACACCAGUGGCGAAGGCGCUCUGCUGGGCCAUAACUGACGCUCAUGGACGAAAGCCAGGGGAGCGAAAGGGAUUAGAUACCCCUGUAGUCCUGGCCGUAAACGAUGAACACUAGGUGUCGGGGGAAUCGACCCCCUCGGUGUCGUAGCCAACGCGUUAAGUGUUCCGCCUGGGGAGUACGCACGCAAGUGUGAAACUCAAAGGAAUUGACGGGGGCCCGCACAAGCGGUGGAGUAUGUGGUUUAAUUCGAUGCAACGCGAAGAACCUUACCAGGGUUUGACAUCCUGCGAAUCCCUUGGAAACGAGGGAGUGCCUUCGGGAGCGCAGAGACAGGUGGUGCAUGGCUGUCGUCAGCUCGUGUCGUGAGAUGUUGGGUUAAGUCCCGCAACGAGCGCAACCCACGUCUUUAGUUGCCAGCAUUUAGUUGGGCACUCUAGAGAGACCGCCGGUGAUAAACCGGAGGAAGGUGUGGAUGACGUCAAGUCAUCAUGCCCCUUACAUCCUGGGCUACACACGUACUACAAUGCUACGGACAAAGGGCAGCAAACUCGCGAGAGCUAGCAAAUCCCAUAAACCGUGGCUCAGUUCAGAUCGUAGGCUGCAACUCGCCUACGUGAAGGCGGAAUCGCUAGUAAUCGCAGGUCAGCAUACUGCGGUGAAUACGUUCCCGGGCCUUGUACACACCGCCCGUCACACCAUGGAAGUUGGCCACGCCCGAAGUCGUUACUCCAACCCUUGUGGAGGAGGACGCCGAAGGUGGGGCUGAUGACUGGGGUGAAGUCGUAACAAGGUAGCCGUACCGGAAGGUGCGGCUGGAUCACCUCCUAACA